UAGGGCGGGACACGAGGAAUCCUGUCUGAAUCCGGGUCGACCACGAUCCAACCCUAAAUACUAAUACCAGAUCGAUAGUGCACAAGUACCGUGAGGGAAAGGUGAAAAGAACUGAGGUGAUCAGAGUGAAAUAGAACCUGAAACCAUUUGCUUACAAUCAUUCAGAGCCCUAUGUAGCAAUACAGGGUGAUGGACUGCCUUUUGCAUAAUGAGCCUGCGAGUUGUGGUGUCUGGCAAGGUUAAGCAAACGCGAAGCCGUAGCGAAAGCGAGUCUGAAUAGGGCGCUUAGUCAGAUGCUGCAGACCCGAAACGAAGUGAUCUAUCCAUGAGCAAGUUGAAGCUAGUGUAAGAACUAGUGGAGGACUGAACCCAUAGGCGUUGAAAAGCCCCGGGAUGACUUGUGGAUAGGGGUGAAAGGCCAAUCAAACUUCGUGAUAGCUGGUUCUCUCCGAAAUAUAUUUAGGUAUAGCGUUGUGUCGUAAUAUAAGGGGGUAGAGCACUGAAUGGGCUAGGGCAUACACCAAUGUACCAAACCCUAUCAAACUCCGAAUACCUUAUAUGUAAUCACAGCAGUCAGGCGGCGAGUGAUAAAAUCCGUCGUCAAGAGGGAAACAACCCAGACUACCAGCUAAGGUCCCUAAAUCUUACUUAAGUGGAAAACGAUGUGAAGUUACUUAAACAACCAGGAGGUUGGCUUAGAAGCAGCCAUCCUUUAAAGAAAGCGUAAUAGCUCACUGGUCUAGUGAUUUUGCGCGGAAAAUAUAACGGGGCUAAAGU
rnacentral:rRNA from 1 species